ACAUCUUCUUGAUGACGUAUAUUCACACAGUGCUUGCGCACAGAAAUGAACCCACACACUUAUAAGAGCCAUCUCUGCGAUCUUUGCAUCAGACUGACCAAGCCACUAAGUGCUGGAGCGUAAUCUCACCUGUCACACGACGUCAUAACCAGAUACUUUAUAUUUCAACAGAGUCAAUGGGGCAUGUUUGGGCCUUCGGUUUCCUUUCCCUUGUAUGGACAGCGUACACUUCUGCUCGAGAUGAUCCUCUUUCGUGUAUGAAGGUCUGGUGCCCAGACGUCAGACGUUUUUCAACGAACAAGUACAUUUGCCCUGCGGACCA